rnacentral:rRNA from 1 species
CCAGACUCCUACGGGAGGCAGCAGUGAGGAAUAUUGGUCAAUGGGCGUAAGCCUGAACCAGCCAAGUCGCGUGAGGGACGACGGCCCUACGGGUUGUAAACCUCUUUUGCCGGGGGACAAACGGCGGCACGCGUGCCGUCCUGAGGGUACCCGGAGAAAAAGCAUCGGCUAACUCCGUGCCAGCAGCCGCGGUAAUACGGAGGAUGCGAGCGUUAUCCGGAUUUAUUGGGUUUAAAGGGUGCGUAGGCGGGAUGCCAAGUCGGGGGUCAAAUACGGGGGCUCAACCUGCGUCCGCCGUUGAAACUGGCAGUCUCGAGUUGGAGAGAAGUAUGCGGAAUGCGCGGUGUAGCGGUGAAAUGCAUAGAUAUCGCGCAGAACUCCGAUUGCGAAGGCAGCAUACCGGCGGCGAUCUGACGCUGAGGCACGAAAGCGUGGGUAUCGAACAGGAUUAGAUACCCCGGUAAAA